rnacentral:rRNA from 1 species
UACGUAGGGGGCAAGCGUUGUCCGGAUUUAUUGGGCGUAAAGAGCGUGUAGGCGGCCGCACAGGUCCGUUGUGAAAACUGGAGGCUUAACCUUCAGACGUCGAUGGAAACCGUGCGGCUAGAGUCCGGAAGAGGAGAGUGGAAUUCCUGGUGUAGCGGUGAAAUGCGUAGAUAUCUGGAGGAACACCGGUGGCGAAGGCGGGUCUCUGGGCCGAUACUGACGCUGAGGAGCGAAAGCGUGGGGAGCGAACAGG